rnacentral:rRNA from 1 species
AACGAACGCUGGCGGCAUGCCUAACACAUGCAAGUCGAACGAGACCUUCGGGUCUAGUGGCGCACUGGUGCGUAACGCGUUGGAACCUGCCCUUAGGUUCGGCAUAACUCCCCGAAAGGGGUGCUAAUACCGGAUAAUGUCUUCGGUCCAAAGAUUUAUCGCCUUUGGAUGGGCUCGCGUUGGAUUAGAUAGUUGUUAGGGUAAAAGCCUACCACUGCGACGAUCCAUAGCUGGUCUGAGAGGAUGAUCAGCCACACUGGUACUGAGACACGGCCCAGAAUCCUACGGGAGGCAGCAGUGGGGAAUAUAGGAAAAUGGGCGAAAGCCUGAUGCAGCAAUGACGCGUGAGUGAUGAAGGCCUUAGGGUUGUAAAGCUAUUUUACACGGGAUGAUAAUGACAGUACCGGGAGAAUAAGCUCCGGCUAACUCCGUG